UACCCCCUUUUCACUUUACCAAUUGGACUUGUGUCUUUACUGGUCAUUCAAGUGGAAUAAAAGUAAUAUUCUUUUAAUACUCAAGCCAACUGAGAACUUGUCAGAGGAAACAAAU
rnacentral:snoRNA from 1 species